GGAUUAGCUCAGUCGGUAGAGCGACGCAUUCGUAAUGCGUAGGUCGUGGGUUCAAGUCCCAUUUCC
rnacentral:tRNA from 1 species